rnacentral:rRNA from 1 species
AAUGGGCGCAAGCCUGAUCCAGCCACGCCGCGUGAGUGAUGAAGGCCUUCGGGUUGUAAAGCUCUGUGGGUAGGGACGAAAACGGUCCGGAAGAAACGACGGAUCCUUGACGGUACCUACUUAGCAAGCACCGGCUAACUCUGUGCCAGCAGCCGCGGUAAUACAGAGGGUGCGAACGUUGCUCGGAAUUACUGGGCGUAAAGCGCGUGUAGGCGGAGCGCUAAGUCGGGCGUGAAAUCCCCAGGCUCAACCUGGGAACUGCGCUCGAAACUGGCGUUCUCGAGUAUCGGAGAGGGUGGCGGAAUUCCUGGUGUAGAGGUGAAAUUCGUAGAUAUCAGGAGGAACACCGGUGGCGAAGGCGGCCACCUGGACGAUCACUGACGCUGAGACGCGAAAGCGUGGGGAGCAAA